rnacentral:lncRNA from 1 species
ACUUCUCCAAGACUUAGAGGCUAGAGCUAGACGGCUAGAAUUAGGGUUCUUCUUCAAUACCUUGUAACCCCGUUUAUUCUUGUUGUUCUAUCUAAUAAAACGUCUUUUCAAGUCUUUCUCUUCAUUAUUCUCUCAAAUCCUUACGAAAUACCUACAAGCAUCCUCAAAUACAUUCGGUUUACCGGCUUGUCCAUCGUUCCG